AAUUGAGAUGUUUGUGAAUGCAUGAGAAUGAAAUGGAUGAAUUCUAGUCUUGACAAAUUGUAAAUACACUAUGUUAAAUUCCUUGCACACCAACUGUUUGAUAAAAUACCAAAAAGAGUUUCUUGUGUUGUUUUUGUGCACUUUGAUGUCUAAUUGAGUUAUAAAAGGAAGAAUUGUCAUGUGUUGCACAAGUCCCUUGGGAGAGAACGAUAUUUAUCACUUGCUACGCUGCAACCG
rnacentral:lncRNA from 1 species